rnacentral:lncRNA from 1 species
UAGGAAGCCAGACCUAGGAAGGUGAAGCCUGGCUGAUCCCUGCAAAGGUACCCCUACGCUGCCACUUAGGAACCUUUAUUUUGAGUGUUCCAGGACCCAAAUGGUUCCCAUGGCAAACCCAGUAUCUACCUUGGAUUUUCCGAUCUGAAAUACCUCUUUCUUGGAGACUUUGAACCUGGUCUCUGGAAACUCAGAGUCUGUAUGAAGUGCUAUUGUUUCUGAGUUCUCUUCGCUUUUGUGUUGGCUUUGGGAUUCUCUUGUCUACCUGGAUAAUGGUCUGCCUUUGUGGCUGAGUCUUCCCGGCGUCAGUGGAUCACAGGCAGCCCGAGGCAUCAGCCUCCGGACUUAACAGCCUUCGGAUUCCUUGAGCCUAGGAGUUACUCUGGGCUGCAGAAGAGGACCCAACUCCUAACUAGCUUCGGAUGCUAGCUCUGAGAAACUCUUCAACACUGUUCUUGUAAACAAAGAUCCAGAGUUAGGUGUUGGCGCACUGCCUGAACACAACCAAGAUGCGGGACCAAUUGUCCCCAAGAUCUCGGGUCUAGAGAGAAGCCAGGAGAAGAGCCAGGACUGUUGCAAAGAGCCAGUCUUCGAACCUGUGGUGCUCAAAGACCCACAUCCUCAGCUCCCCCAGCUACCAUCCCAGCCCCAGGCCGAGCCCCAGCUCCAGAUUCCGUCUCCAGACCCGAACUUGGUACCCCGCACUGAAGCUCCGCCCCAGUUCCCUCCUCCGAGUACACAGCCCGCCCCAGGACCCCCAGAAGCCCAGCUGCAGCCCGCCCCGCUGCCUCAGGUGCAGCGGCCACCCAGGCCGCAGUCUCCCAGCCACCUGCUCCAGCAGACCCUUCCGCCUGUG